UACGUAGGGGGCUAGCGUUGUCCGGAAUCAUUGGGCGUAAAGCGCGCGUAGGCGGCCCGGUAAGUCCGCUGUAAAAGUCCAGGGCUCAACCCUGGAAAGCCGGUGGAUACUGUCGGGCUCGAGUCCGGAAGAGGCGAGUGGAAUUCCUGGUGUAGCGGUGGAAUGCGCAGAUAUCAGGAGGAACACCGAUGGCGAAGGCAGCUCGCUGGGACGGUACUGACGCUGAGGCGCGAAAGCUAGGGGAGCAAACGGG
rnacentral:rRNA from 1 species